UACAGAGGGGGCAAGCGUUGUUCGGAAUUACUGGGCGUAAAGGGCGCGUAGGCGGCCCGCUAAGUCGGAUGUGAAAUCCCCAGGCUUAACCUGGGAACUGCAUCCGAUACUGGAUGGCUUGAAUCCGGGAGAGGGAUGCAGAAUUCCAGGUGUAGCGGUGAAAUGCGUAGAUAUCUGGAGGAAUACCGGUGGCGAAGGCGGCAUCCUGGACCGGCAUUGACGCUGAUGAGCGAAAGCUAGGGGAGCAAACGGG
rnacentral:rRNA from 1 species